UGGGGAAUAUUGCACAAUGGGCGCAAGCCUGAUGCAGCCAUGCCGCGUGUAUGAAGAAGGCCUUCGGGUUGUAAAGUACUUUCAGCGGGGAGGAAGGCGAUAAGGUUAAUAACCUUGUCGAUUGACGUUACCCGCAGAAGAAGCACCGGCUAACUCCGUGCCAGCAGCCGCGGUAAUACGGAGGGUGCAAGCGUUAAUCGGAAUUACUGGGCGUAAAGCGCACGCAGGCGGUCUGUCAAGACGGAUGUGAAAUCCCCGGGCUCAACCUGGGAACUGCAUUCGAAACUGGCAGGCUAGAGUCUUGUAGAGGGGGGUAGAAUUCCAGGUGUAGCGGUGAAAUGCGUAGAGAUCUGGAGGAAUACCGGUGGCGAAGGCGGCCCCCUGGACAAAGACUGACGCUCAGGUGCGAAAGCGUGGGGAGCAAACA
rnacentral:rRNA from 1 species